CCGUGCCUCGGCCAGGAGCCAUCCAAGAUCGCGCCGGUGUCCGAGGGCACCACCUUCGGCGUUGUCGCCGGCGCCAAGACCAACGUGUUGGCAUCGCCAGAGUGUGCGUCGGCGACCCUGCUCGGGCCGAUCAAGAAGCACAUCAUCGAGCACUUCCACCACAAGAAGCCCGUGCCACCGAAGCCGGAGCCCAAGCCCCAGCCCCACCCAGACUACGGCCCGGUACCCAAGCCUGAGCCGAAGCCGCAGCCCCACCCGGACUACCACCCCAUCCCUCCCACGCCCACCUACGGCGGCGGCGGCGGUGGCGGUGGAUACCACGGACACCACUAA
rnacentral:rRNA from 1 species